rnacentral:rRNA from 2 species
CUGAUGCAGCGACGCCGCGUGAGGGAUGACGGCCUUCGGGUUGUAAACCUCUUUCAAUAGGGACGAAGCGCAAGUGACGGUACCUAUAGAAGAAGCACCGGCCAACUACGUGCCAGCAGCCGCGGUAAUACGUAGGGUGCGAGCGUUGUCCGGAAUUACUGGGCGUAAAGAGCUCGUAGGUGGUUUGUCGCGUUGUUCGUGAAAACUCACAGCUUAACUGUGGGCGUGCGGGCGAUACGGGCAGACUGGAGUACUGCAGGGGAGACUGGAAUUCCUGGUGUAGCGGUGGAAUGCGCAGAUAUCAGGAGGAACACCGGUGGCGAAGGCGGGUCUCUGGGCAGUAACUGACGCUGAGGAGCGAAAGCGUGGGGAGCGAACAGGAUUAGAUACCCUGGUAGUCCACGCCGUAAACGGUGGGUACUAGGUGUGGGUUUCCUUCCUUGGGAUCCGUGCCGUAGCUAACGCAUUAAGUACCCCGCCUGGGGAGUACGGCCGCAAGGCUAAAACUCAAAGAAAUUGACGGGGGCCCGCACAAGCGGCGGAGCAUGUGGAUUAAUUCGAUGCAACGCGAAGAACCUUACCUGGGUUUGACAUGCACAGGACGCCAGCAGAGAUGUCGGUUCCCUUGUGGCCUGUG